rnacentral:tRNA from 1 species
GGUAAAAUGGUGUAAAAAACACAACAAAUUGUAAAUUUGUAGAUGCUUAAGCUUUUGCCA